CAACCCCUCGAGCCCCUCGGGGCUUGGUGUUAGGGCUUCCUACGUGCGCCGUAGGCCCUGAAUUCAAGUGGCGGGCUCGCUGCGAUCCCGAGCGUAGUAACACUACGUCGCUCAGGGCGUCGCGGCGGGCGCUGGCCGUAAAAGAAAACCGAACGGUUUACAACAAACAA
rnacentral:misc_RNA from 1 species